UACGUAGGGUGCAAGCGUUGUCCGGAAUUACUGGGCGUAAAGCGCGCGUAGGCGGCUUCGUAAGUCGGGUGUGAAAGCCCCGGGCUUAACCUGGGAAUGGCGGUUGAAGCUGGUCGACUAGAAUCUGGCAGAGGGGGGUGGAAUUCCACGUGUAGCAGUGAAAUGCGUAGAGAUGUGGAGGAACACCGAUGGCGAAGGCAGCCCCCUGGGCUGAGAUUGACGCUCAGGCACGAAAGCGUGGGGAGCAAACAGG
rnacentral:rRNA from 1 species